rnacentral:rRNA from 1 species
UACAGAGGGGGGCAAGCGUUUGUUCGGAAUUACUGGGCGUAAAGGGCGCGUAGGCGGCCGCCUAAGUCAGACGUGAAAUCCCUCGGCUCAACCGGGGAACUGCGUCUGAUACUGGGUGGCUUGAAUCCGGGAGAGGGAUGCGGAAUUCCAGGUGUAGCGGUGAAAUGCGUAGAUAUCUGGAGGAACACCGGUGGCGAAGGCGGCAUCCUGGACCGGCAUUGACGCUGAGGCGCGAAAGCCAGGGGAGCAAAGCGGG